GAAUUCGGCCUUAGAGUUUGAUCCUGGCUCAGGACGAACGCUGGCGGCGUGCCUAACACAUGCAAGUGGAGCGGAGUAAGGGUCUUCGGAAUUUUACUUAGUGGCGAACGGGUGAGUAACGCGUGAGCAACCUGCCUCUUUGAGGGGGAUAACAACCGGAAACGGUUGCUAAUACCGCAUAAGACCACACUGUCGCAUGGCAGAGAGGUCAAAGGAGCAAUCCGCAGAGAGAGGGGCUCGCGUCCCAUUAGGUAGACGGCGGGGUAAUGGCCCACCGUGCCGACGAUGGGUAGCCGAGCUGAGAGGCUGAUCGGCCACACUGGAACUGAGACACGGUCCAGACUCCUACGGGAGGCAGCAGUGGGGAAUAUUGGGCAAUGGGCGCAAGCCUGACCCAGCAACGCCGCGUGAGGGAAGAAGGUCUUCGGAUUGUAAACCUCUGUCCUUGGUGACGAAGGAAGUGACGGUAGCCAAGGAGGAAGCCCCGGCUAACUACGUGCCAGCAGCCGCGGUAAUACGUAGGGGGCGAGCGUUGUCCGGAAUUACUGGGCGUAAAGGGUGCGUAGGCGGUACUUUAAGUUGGAUGUGAAAUACCCGGGCUUAACUUGGGGGGUGCAUCCAAUACUGGAGAACUAGAGUGCAGGAGAGGGAAGCGGAAUUCCUAGUGUAGCGGUGAAAUGCGUAGAUAUUAGGAGGAACACCAGUGGCGAAGGCGGCUUUCUGGACUGUAACUGACGCUGAGGCACGAAAGCGUGGGGAGCAAACAGGAUUAGAUACCCUGGUAGUCCACGCUGUAAACG
rnacentral:rRNA from 1 species